AUGCCUAGGAGGAAAAGAUAAUUAUUCAUAUAGGAUCACCAAGCAAAGAGAAUUAUCACUUGUGAGGACAUGUCAUCUGAGGGGUUCGUCUGGUCAACUGCUCAAGCUGGGGUUAUGCCACAAGGACAGCUGGAAGACAGGACACUUUGUCCCCCACCUCCCUGAUGACCUGAUAAUUAUGCAGACAUGGCCAUUCUGACACGUGUGAGCUGCUUGAGAAGGUGCCUAGCUGCUCUCCUAGGCGAAUUUUCCACGACUUUCUACUUGUGACCUCCUGAGGUUGGAUCCAUCACUCAAAAGGUGGGAGUGGAAGAGAAGACACCUAAUG